AAUGUUGAAACGCCCCAAGGAUAACUUGAGAGAGUCCUUGAAAUGUGUCUUCUGACUUCCCUGAGUGCUUUCCUUCCUUUAGCUUGCCGUAAAAGAUCUUAGAUGAGCAACUGCCAGACAUUCUGGUGACGUGGCCUGCUCAUCUCAUCUGUGACUUCAUCAACCAUGUGGGGAUGCUUGGAAUGCCUGCCCAUAUGAGAACUUCAGUAUUUGGAACCUUGUCUUGCCAUCAUCAGUUUCCUCAGACAGCCCAUGUGAAGUGAAAGUGAUUCAGCUACAUAGCAUGGCGUCUGUACACCAUCCAGGUUUUGCAUACAUACCUCAGAGUUGGGAACACAAUGGUUUUGUAGACCUUCAGUUUUGUUUGACUGAUGUCUCUAUGUUCCCACACAUUUGCACAUAUUCUGCCAAAGGCUGUGCAAAUCUAGUGUUGGUUUCAUCAUCAAUGUGAACUGCAUAUGACUGUAUUGCUGAGGUAGGUGAACCCUCUUCAUUAUGAUGUUCUCUGCCAUGCUUCCAGAUGCCUUUCGUGACUGACACCGGGACUGGCAUCAGAUACCGGACUGAUGGCAAGCUCUUCAAUUUGAGGAGACUAUAGGAGAAGACAAAAAGGUCUUACAAUCAACAUCAAGAACACAGAAGUGAUGUACCAGCCUGCACCAGGAAAGCUUUAUUUUCCUGGACUUGGACUUGCUGCCCAACAUCAGUUUGGUGAGCUCUACAGGCUCAGAGGUAGCACAUCCAAGCCGAUGGCUCUUGUAUCAUUCCUGAAGUGUUUGUUGAGAGUUCUGGCUCAUUCCAAGGAGGGACAGUGCUAACUGAAGAGCAGCUGUUCAGUUUUCUCUUUGUUCAACAAGAAGCCAUAUGACUUAUUUACUGCACAUUAUUCAACCUGGCUUUAAUGGCAGAAUUAUAAAUUUCCUCAUGCUUAUCAGUGUGCUUCACAAACAUUAAUGAACUUAUUUUCAGAGCAGCCCUAUGAGAUGAGGGAGUAUUAUUAUUCCCAUUUUACAAAUGGGGACAGACACAGAGAGAUUAAAGUAAAAAAAGUACAUGAAUUUUGGUACCCAGUUUGAGAUGCCUAUAGCCUGUUUUUUUUUCUCCUGAGAAAUUAGCAUUCUGCAGCACUUUAUUGGUCAGUACACACCUUUUGACUCCAGAUUUUUACUCAGGUUCUGGCUGCAUUUUUAUCUCAUACCACCUGAUUUAUGCAUAUCCCAUCCAUGGGCCUACAAAGUUGCAGAACAGCCUUUUCAACCUCCUCCUAGCACUGGCCAACAUAGCCAUUCAUCACACCAGGUGGAGGAAGCUAGACGGGUGGUUUCUCUGUAACUGGGGCCUAUUUCUAUUCCCUUGUUCAGUCAUGUCUCUAGGCUGAGUUCCUCUGGGUAGUGUCCACCAAUUCCUUGGACACCUUUGAGGGACAGUGGGUGCUGUCCAAGGUUCUCUGCUCAGUGUCCCCCUCUGGUUUGUUGAUUUUUCAACUUUGGACCUCACUCACAUUUCUGUUUUCUCAUUUGUUGUCCUCUGUAAUUAAUUGGAGCCUAGUGUUGGUGGUUCCUCUCACUUAGUUGUGGUGGAUGGCUUUUAGUUUUGGGUGGGCCUAGAUGCACCUGUCCCCAGUACUUCAAAUACUACAUACUUUCCAACUUCAGAACCUCUUGCUGAAGUUCUGGCUACACUUUUCCUCACCCCACCUGAUGAAUGCACAGCCCAUGCAUGGUUCCAUAAAGUCAUGGGACCUCCUUGCCAAACUCCUCCUGGCGCUGGCCAAGACAGCUGGAUGGGGGCGGUGCUCUGCAACCCUGGGGCCUAUUUCUGAUUCCUCAUAUGAUCAUGCCUCCAGGAGAGUUCCUCCAAGUAGCGUCCAUUGAAUCCCUAGCUGCCUUUGAAGAGCAGUGGACUCUGUCUGGGGUUCUUUGCUUAGUGUUCCCUUCUAGAUUCCUGAUUUGUUACUGCUGACCUCCUUUCUGCUUCUUUUCUUUCAUCUGUGGCCCUCUAUAAUCAACUGAAGCCUGGAUUUAGUGGGGGCAUAUCUCUUAGUUGAGGGUAAGGGCCUUUAAUUUUGGACAGGCUCAGAAUUGCCUUUCCCCAGUACUUCAAAUAUAAUAUGCCUUCCAACUCCUGCAACAAAUGAGGCAGGGGCCCUACAGACAACAGCCUCUUUCAUCACACAACUCUGAUUUAUUCCCUGUGAGAGGAGACAGGAAAGAGAAGUCAGGAAGUGGGUGGAGUGAAGCUCUGCACUUAUACAUAGAGGGGCUUAUUGUGCCUUUUCUGUAACUAAAUCACAGGUGGGGUUCCAGUGGAAGGGAUAGUGACUGAAUGAGCUAAUAUAUCUUUUCCAUCUCCUAUCUUGUAUAAGUUAAUGUUUUAAUAUGCUAAGGCUGGAAGCUGAACUAAACAGAUUAGCAUUGAAAUAAAGCUCAUAUUUGUAAUAGGGUAAUUAACCAUUAGAUCAACAUACGUUUGUAUGUUGGCACCACGGAUGUGGUAGAUUUUCAGUCUCUUGAAAUCUCAAUCAAGAUUGCAUGUCUAUCUAAAAGAUCAAACAGAAGUUAGGGGCUUGAUGGAGGAAAUACUGGGCAGGAAGUCAGAUUAGAUCAUUAUAAUGUAGCCCUCAAAAAUCUUUAAAUAAAAUGGAACAAUUGAGUGUUUCUCUAUUCUGCAGGUAGUAGAAGUGUAGCAAAUGCUACACUAUAUUCAGCUGAAACUGCAGUAGUGGUUUAGUUAGAAUGUUAUUAAGUGAGUUGGAAUUCAUCCAGGACACUGGGACUUUGCAAUUCUUAUGAAAAGUGCCAUGGGAUCUUUAAGUGGUCAGAACCUCCAUUUUAUAACUCAGUGCUCUCCCCUGCCCCCCACAUCAGUAGCACAAUGACCCUGUAUACUUUCCCAAAGCACUGUCUCAAUACUGACUUAGAGCCGAGGGAAGAACUCUAUAUUAACAGUACUUUCUGCAGCUCAUGGGUUUUUCUUGGAAGUCUGCCAUCUAAUUACUGACCAAACUAAACCUGUUUAGUUUAUGAGGUCAGAAGCCUUAAAUGGUAUUGCUGCAGGAACACCUAUGUGACCACCACUUUGUAAAGAAAAUAAUUUCACACAUCUAAACUUUCCAUCUAUUUCUAUUCUUCUGUUUUCUAUCCCUCUUUUCAUGUCUCCUCACUAUGUGUAGGAACAGCUUAAGAAUAAAAUAUACCUCUCUUCCAACAUCUAGUUUUUAUUUCUCUAUUCUCUUCCCUCUUCUUUCAGUAUAUUUUUUUCCCUCUCUCCUCCUUUUCCUUUGGUUGAAGUCUUUCCCUUCAGUGCAUGCUUAUAUCUAGGCUAUAUCUAAGUGCUAGUUCUACAGUCUUUACCAAUUUAAAAAAAGAUACAAAAAAUUCUAGUGAUGUUUACAGGGACAGAAUAAUUUGUUUACACACAACUGCACAAUAGCAAAAUGCAGUGUACUUAGUUUGGACAAAGGACAAUUUAGCUGUGCAUUUUUUGUUGCUUUUUAAAUUUGUGGAGAAACUGAAAGAAAGGCUGCUUCUGAAUUCAUGCUCCAUCUGCUGGAGUAAUACAACAUGGCUUGUCACAUGCUUGGAGCAGAUUAGGAUAAUUUUCUGUUGGUAAUUUACAUAAUUUCUUCACUGUGCAGUAAUUUUUUUCAUACUAAUAGCUACCAUUUAGUGAGUUUUUUAAUUUUGACUUUUUAAAAACUACUUUUUUCCUCUGUUCAACUGAGUGCUUUUAGUUAUUCACUUGAAACUAAUGAAAGUUAUUUUUUAAAUAUGCUGUUUUAAUGGGGGCCUUAUCUUUAAACAAAUGAUAUUGUACAAGUUUUAAGAGUACAUUUUUAAUGCAAUAACUAUUAGCCAUAACCCUUCUCUUCAUGCUACAUUUUGUGUCCACUUCUCCAAUUCUGUGUCAUUUGCUACUUCUCAUUUGUGUUCUCUCUUUCACCAACUUGUAGUUGGCUUCUGCUUCACCGGCUGCUUCCUCUUUUCAAUUUGUUCUGAAGUGAAACUUACUAGAAUCCUGAUCUUUUGCAUCACUGUUUGCCAAUAUCAAAGAUGAGGAAUUGAGUAGACUCCCUUUGCUACCAGCUGCCAAUGGAAAAAAAAAAUAAAGCACAAUAAAAUCAUUUAAAAACAGAAGUUGUAAAAUCACAAUGCUAAAUGUUAUUAAAAUCUGCUUAUUUGACAGAGGGGAAACUAUUUGUCCAGAAGUCAUAUUUCAUAUUGCUUGGAAUUAUGGAAAACCAAUGAUCCCAGUCCAGGGCAAAUGCACCUGUAUUCCCCAUCCAUGGUCUCUUGAGGAUAUUGAGUCUAGGCUCCAGGCUCCUCAGCAAUUACCUCUCUUGGGCAGAGACCUGGGUCGGUCUGUCUCUCCCUCUCUCUCCCCCCUCAGAGUUUGAGGCUAGUUCCCUGCUUAUAGUGUGAUAUCCUCAG